rnacentral:rRNA from 1 species
UACGAAGGGGGCUAGCGUUGCUCGGAAUUACUGGGCGUAAAGCGCUUGUAGGCGGCACGUCAAGUCGCGUGUGAAAUCCCCAGGCUUAACCUGGGAAGUGCGCGCGAAACUGACGAGCUUGAGUGCCGGAGAGGGUCGCGGAAUUCCCGGUGUAGAGGUGAAAUUCGUAGAUAUCGGGAGGAACACCAGUGGCGGAAGGCGGCGACCCUGGACGGACAC